rnacentral:rRNA from 1 species
CCUGGUUGAUCCUGCCAGUAAUCAUAUGCUUGUCUCAAAGAUUAAGCCAUGCAUGUCUAAGUACAUGCCGAAAUAAGGCGAAACCGCGAAUGGCUCAUUAAAUCAGUUAUGGUUCCUUAGAUCGUUUCUUCCUACUUGGAUAACUGUGGCAAUUCUAGAGUAAUAUGCAUGAGGCCUGGAUGCCUUUUGGGUAACGGAGUGAUUUUAUUAGACCAAGAUCGAUCGGGUUUCGGCCCGUAUUGUGUGGUGACUCUGGAUAACUUUGUGCUGAUCGCAUGGCCACGAGCCGGCGACGUUUCUUUCAAGUGUCUGCCUUAUCAACUUUCGAUGGUAGGUUACUUGCUUACCAUGGUUGUUACGGGUAACGGAGAAUCAGGGUUCGAUUCCGGAGAGGGAGCCUGAGAAACGGCUACCACAUCCAAGGAAGGCAGCAGGCGCGCAAAUUACCCACUCCCGGCACGGGGAGGUAGUGACGAAAAAUAACAAUACGGGACUCUUUUGAGGCCCCGUAAUUGAAAUGAGUACACUCUAAAUCCUUUAACGAGGAUCAAUUGGAGGUGGGCAAGUCUGGUGCCAGCAGCCGCGGUAAUUCCAGCUCCAAUAGCGUAUACUAAAGCUGCUGCGGUUAAAAAGCUCGUAGUUGGAUCUCAGUUCCAGACGAGUAGUGCAUCUACCCGAUGCGACGGCUCGGACUGAACAUCAUGCCGGUUCUUUCUUGGUGCACUUCAUUGUGUGCCUCGAGAUGGCCGGUGCUUUUACUUUGAAAAAAUUAGAGUGCUCAACGCAGGCGAGUCGCCUGAAUAAACUUGCAUGGAAUAAUAGAACAAGACCUCGUUUCUGUUCUGUUGGUUUUUGGAAUACGAGGUAAUGAUUAAGAGGGACGGACGGGGGCAUUCGUAUUGCGGCGCUAGAGGUGAAAUUCUUGGACCGUCGCAAGACGAACUACUGCGAAAGCAUUUGCCAAGAAUGUUUUCAUUGAUCAAGAACGAAAGUCAGAGGUUCGAAGGCGAUCAGAUACCGCCCUAGUUCUGACCAUAAACGAUGCCAACCAGCGAUCCGCCUGAGUUACUCAAAUGACUCGGCGGGCAGCUUCCGGGAAACCAAAGUAUUUGGGUUCCGGGGGAAGUAUGGUUGCAAAGCUGAAACUUAAAGGAAUUGACGGAAGGGCACCACCAGGAGUGGAGCCUGCGGCUUAAUUUGACUCAACACGGGAAAACUUACCCGGCCCGGACACUGGGAGGAUUGACAGAUUGAGAGCUCUUUCUUGAUUCGGUGGAUGGUGGUGCAUGGCCGUUCUUAGUUGGUGGAGAGAUUUGUCUGGUUAAUUCCGAUAACGAACGAGACUCUAGCCUAUUAAAUAGGUGCGGGGUUCCCAGCACCUUACAACCUUCUUAGAGGGACAAGCGGCUCCUAGCCGCACGAAACAGAGCAAUAACAGGUCUGUGAUGCCCUUAGAUGUCCGGGGCCGCACGCGCGCUACACUGAAGGAAGCAGCGUGUCUUUAUCCCUGUCUGAAAAGACUGGGUAACCCGUGGAACUUCUUUCGUGAUUGGGAUAGGGGCUUGCAAUUGUUC